rnacentral:rRNA from 1 species
UACGAAGGGGGCUAGCGUUGCUCGGAAUCACUGGGCGUAAAGGGUGCGUAGGCGGGUCUUUAAGUCAGGGGUGAAAUCCCCGAGCUUAACUUCGAAACUGCAUUCGAUACUGCCGUGCUUGAGGACUGGAGAGGAGACUGGAAUUUACGGUGUAGCGGUGAAAUGCGUAGAUAUCGUAAGGAAGACCAGUGGCGAAGGCGGGUCUCUGGACAGUUCCUGACGCUGAGGCACGAAGGCCAGGGGAGCAAACGGG